rnacentral:lncRNA from 1 species
CUCUUCCCCCUCACCUUUCUCGAUCCAGUUACAGCAAAUAUGCACUCUCUCUCCCUUUAUAUUCAUCCAACAACAUUCUCUCUCCUUAUUUCUCCCGAUCUACUCUCUCUCACUGUAUUUCAUCUCUGCUAUUGUUUCUAUUCAUCUCAGCCAUUGCCGUUGCUACUCCGUCUCCCCUCCUUCUAGCCACUGCUGCUCCGUCUCUGCCUAGCCACUGCUUCUCCAUCUCCACCUAACCGCUUUUGCUUCGUCUCAACAACCUCGACUGUUGCUGGUCACUCGACUCUGUCUCUUGCUGGUAUUUAUUUUAUUUAAGUAAUUACUUGAGUGAUUUGAUUAAUUGUUUUUAAUAGCAUGUAAUUAUUUGAGUGAUUAUUUGAGUAAAUUAUUU